UCCACACCUUGUUGAUGUCAUCCACGCUCUGCACCUGGAACUCAGUCAGCCCUGGUACAUACAGCUGCCCACUGCCGUCUGGGCACAGCCGGAUCUCCAGUUUUUCCUGAGGCUCUUUCCCUAGCAGGUCCCUGGAGGGGCAGGACCACCCAACCCGCUGGGCUGAGUCAGGACUUGCAGCCAGGUCCCUUGACGGCCUCAUCUGGUCCCUGCACUCCCUUCGGGAAGACCCCCACUUCCUAUCCCCCAUUGCUCCAGCACCACCCCUGAGGACCCCAAAGCUGCCCCUGAGGCCUGCUCCGCACACCCUGGGGCUCCCACCUGAGGACCUCGUUGUAGAUCUCCGCGGCGCUGACGGUGAUGGUGUACUCCCAGUCAGACGCCUUCUCCUGCACCUCGGAGAAGAGCAGCUGCAGGGCCCGCUGGUUGAUACCUGGGUUCUCAGCGGUCCCCUGGGGACAGAAGGAAAAGCCCCAGUAAACCAGGCCUGUCCCCAAAGACGCUCAUGUGGCAUCUGUCCCCUAAGCCCCUUGGCUACCCCUCACAGGCAAGCCUCCUUGCCCAAACCUCCUACCUACCUGCCACUGUCCCCCAAAAUGCCCUCCGCCAGCUGCAGGCAACUGCACCCCUAUUUCCCCACCAUUAAAAUGGCAUCGCCCUGCCAGGACUA